rnacentral:rRNA from 1 species
ACUGAACGCUGGCGGCAGGCCUAACACAUGCAAGUCGAGCGGAUGAGGGGUGCUUGCACCCCGAUUCAGCGGCGGACGGGUGAGUAAUGCCUAGGAAUCUGCCCGAUAGUGGGGGACAACGUUUCGAAAGGAACGCUAAUACCGCAUACGUCCUACGGGAGAAAGUGGGGGCUCUUCGGACCUCACGCUAUCGGAUGAGCCUAGGUCGGAUUAGCUAGUUGGUGGGGUAAAGGCUCACCAAGGCGACGAUCCGUAACUGGUCUGAGAGGAUGAUCAGUCACACUGGAACUGAGACACGGUCCAGACUCCUACGGGAGGCAGCAGUGGGGAAUAUUGGACAAUGGGCGAAAGCCUGAUCCAGCCAUGCCGCGUGUGUGAAGAAGGUCUUCGGAUUGUAAAGCACUUUAAGUCGGGAGGAAGGGUUGCAGGUUAAUACCUUGCAGCCUUGACGUUACCGACAGAAUAAGCACCGGCUAACUUCGUGCCAGCAGCCGCAGUAAGAC